AAAAAAGGGUCUGACGACUGCCCAAACCACAACCGUGAACCAUUUUUCUUAUUGAUGCUCUGGCAGGGCCCGCCCGCUGGGGGGGCUUCAGGCCGCGGUUUCGCGGUGGUCUGCCGGUGGCUCGCAAACCAAAACUCUUUUUGAACGUCUCUCUGAGAAUAUCUAACUCCUCUUAGCGGGAGAAAAAAAAAAAGUCA
rnacentral:misc_RNA from 1 species